GGUCCUGUGUGGCUCAGCUGGUAGAGCAAGGCACUGACACCGUAACACCGCAGGGUUAGCGGUUCAAUUCCCUAUUGUGGGCCA